UACGUAGGGUGCAAGCGUUAAUCGGAAUUACUGGGCGUAAAGCGCACGUAGGCGGAUACUUAAGUCAGGGGUGAAAUCCUGGAGCUCAACUCCAGAACUGCCUUUGAUACUGAGGAUCUUGAGUUCGGGAGAGGUGAGUGGAACUGCGAGUGUAGAGGUGAAAUUCGUAGAUAUUCGCAAGAACACCAGUGGCGAAGGCGGCUCACUGGCCCGAUACUGACGCUGAGGCACGAAAGCGUGGGGAGCAAACAGG
rnacentral:rRNA from 1 species